rnacentral:rRNA from 1 species
UGGGGAAUCUUGCGCAAUGGGCGAAAGCCUGACGCAGCGACGCCGCGUGGGUGAAGAAGGUUUUCGGAUCGUAAAACCCUUUUCUGUGUGACGAGCAAGGACGGUAGCACAGGAAUAAGUCUCGGCUAACUACGUGCCAGCAGCCGCGGUAAAACGUAGGAGACAAACGUUAUCCGGAGUUACUGGGCGUAAAGGGCGUGCAGGCGGCAGUCUAAGUCUGGCGUGAAAGAUCCCGGCUUAACCGGGGAAGGUCGUCGGAUACUGGGCAGCUAGAGGGCGGUAGAGGCGUGUGGAAUUCCGGGUGUAGUGGUGAAAUGCGUAGAGAUCCGGAGGAACACCAGUGGCGAAGGCGACACGCUGGGCCGCACCUGACGCUAAGACGCGACAGCAUGGGGAGCAAACAGGAUUAGAUACCCGAGUAGUCCCUGAGCGGGCUGGCAAGGCGCAU